GGCCAACAGAGAUGUCGAUAAGAACAAAUGCGUGUUUUGUUCUUGGGAAUUCUGGACCUUCCGAAACAACGAGUAGCUGAAACGUUUCUAAGACCCUGGAUAGAGACGCCAUCCCUGGCUGAGCAUAAACUCUUAAUAAGUAGCCACCAGGAAACAUGCUGAAUAUCUUUGAGAAGGCACACUUCAGAGAGAUUGCAGAUUCGGUUCGAGACUGCCGCAG